AUUCAUAACCUGCUAAUGAGGAGGAGGCUUAUGAACUCUAGGAGUGCUGGAGGAGAGGAAGAUUAGUGUUUAAAGGACUCAAGCCUGCAGUGAUGAACAUGAUGGUGGCUUCUUCCAUUAAUUUGGAGCCUUGUUGACUUCCGUGGAGCUGUGCAUGAAUUCAAGGUUCCCACUCAUGCUGCCUGGUCAGUAGCUAAG